GUGAUGGUGUAGGGGUGAGAGCGCGCGACCAUGUGCAGAGGCUAUGGUCCUCGAAGUGGCUGUCCCGGGUUCAACUCCCGGACCUGGCGACA